CCUACGGGUGGCAGCAGUCGAGAAUCAUUCACAAUGGGGGCAACCCUGAUGGUGCGACGCCGCGUGGGGGAAUGAAGGUCUUCGGAUUGUAAACCCCUGUCAUGUGGGAGCAAAUUAAAAAGAUCGUACCACAAGAGGAAGAGACGGCUAACUCUGUGACAGCAGCCGCGGUAAUACAGAGGUCUCAAGCGUUGUUCGGAAUCACUGGGCGUAAAGCGUGCGUAGGCUGUUUCGUAAGUCGUGUGUGAAAGGCGCGGGCUCAACCCGCGGACGGCACAUGAUACUGCGAGACUAGAGUAAGGGAGGGGGAACCGGAAUUCUCGGUGUAGCAGUGAAAUGCGUAGAUAUCGAGAGGAACACUCGUGGCGAAGGCGGGUUCCUGGACAUUAACUGACGCUGAGGCACGAAGGCCAGGGGAGCGAAAGGGAUUAGAUACCCGGGUAGUC
rnacentral:rRNA from 1 species